rnacentral:antisense_RNA from 10 species
UUUUAUGGUGGCCAUGCGCAGGGCGCUUUCGAGCGCGCCGGUUUUUCCAUGUGUGCCGGUCUACCAACCUUCGUAAUGGCCACCACCC